CAUCUCUUGGAUUUGGAAUUCGUAGCCAGAAGAGCCUUCAUUGAUUCAAAUACCAUUCGUGAGGAGGACAGACACGAGAAGGUUCUUGAAGCAUAUCCUUGUUUCAAGGACAUAGGACAUGUGAUGGACGAGCUUAAGCGCAUUCUGGACAAAGACAACCCAAACUUCAUGAAUGAGCUUAAAGGAAGAUGGGAAGAAUUUUGUCAGAAGGUCCAAUAUUUUGGUCUUUGGAAAACGGCACUGAAACCCCCAAUGGGUUUAGACAAAGCUGAACAGGCUCUUGAGAUCCUACGUGUGCUGCCAUCACUGUUCCUGUCUGCUCCUCCAAAGAGGGUACGAGAUGCCAAUGAGGCUCUGGUGCAUGUCCUCCAGGUG